rnacentral:rRNA from 1 species
GCAUGCAAGUCGAACGAUAGUCCUUCGGGGCUAUAGUGGCGGACGGGUGAGUAACGCGUAGGAAUCUACCCCUGGAUGGGGAAUAACUCAGAGAAAUCUGGGCUAAUACCGCAUAAUCUCUACGGAGAAAAGGUCGUAACUGAUCGUCGAGGGAGGAGCCUGCGUCCUAUCAGCUUGUUGGUGAGGUAAAAGCUCACCAAGGCGAUGACGGGUAGGGGGUGUGAGAGCACGGCCCCCCACAAGGUCACUGAUACACGGGGCCUACACCUACGGGUGGCAGCAACUGGGAAUAUUGCGCAAUGGGCGAAAGCCUGACGCAGCGACGCCGCGUGCGGGAUGAAGACCUUCGGGUUGUAAACCGCUGUGGAGAGGGAAGAUAAUGACGGUACCUCUCUAGAAAGCACCUGCUAACUACGUGCCAGAAGCCUCGGUGAGACGUAGGGUGCAAGCAUUAUCCGGAUUUAUUGGGCGUAAAGAGUAUCGUAGGCGGUUUUGUAAGUGGUCGGUGAAAUCCUCUGGCUCAACCAGAGAACUGCCGAUCAUACUGCGAAACUAGAGUGACUUCGGGAAGGCUGGAAUUCUCGGUGUAGGGGUGAAAUCCGUUGAUAUCGAGAAGAACA